UGGGGAAUAUUGCACAAUGGGCGAAAGCCUGAUGCAGCGACGCCGCGUGCGGGAUGAAGGCCUUCGGGUUGUAAACCGCUUUUAAUUGGGAGCAAGCGAGAGUGAGUGUACCUUUUGAAUAAGCACCGGCUAACUACGUGCCAGCAGCCGCGGUAAUACGUAGGGUGCAAGCGUUAUCCGGAAUUAUUGGGCGUAAAGAGCUCGUAGGCGGUUUGUCACGCCUGGUGUGAAAGUCCAUCGCUUAACGGUGGAUCUGCGCCGGGUACGGGCAGGCUAGAGUGCAGUAGGGGAGAUUGGAAUUCCCGGUGUAACGGUGGAAUGUGUAGAUAUCGGGAAGAACACCAAUGGCGAAGGCAGAUCUCUGGGCUGUUACUGACGCUGAGGAGCGAAAGCAUGGGGAGCGAACAGGAUUAGAUACCCGUGGUAGUCCAUGCC
rnacentral:rRNA from 1 species